GAUGAACGCUGGCGGUAUGCUUAACACAUGCAAGUCGAACGGACUCUUCGGAGUUAGUGGCGGACGGGUGAGUAACGCGUGAGAAUCUGGCUUUGGGUUCGGGACAACCACUGGAAACGGUGGCUAAUACCGGAUGUGCCGAGAGGUAAAAGAGAAAUUGCCUGAAGAUGAGCUCGCGUCUGAUUAGCUAGUUGGUGAGGUAAAGGCUCACCAAGGCAGCGAUCAGUAGCUGGUCUGAGAGGAUGACCAGCCACACUGGGACUGAGACACGGCCCAGACUCCUACGGGAGGCAGCAGUGGGGAAUUUUCCGAAAUGGGGGAAAGCCUGACGGAGCAAAACCGGGGGAGGGAAGAAGGCUUUGGGGUUGUAAACCUUUUUUCUUAGGGAAGAAAAAAAUGACGGUACCAAAGGAAUCAGCAUCGGCUAACUCCGU
rnacentral:rRNA from 1 species